GCCAGAAAUACGGAAGUGACAAAGUCCGAGUGAUAACGCUGGUGCAGAAUCGUGGGAAAGGUGGUGCUGUGAGGAUGGGUGUGUUCAGUGCUCGAGGGGAGAAGAUCCUCAUGGCCGAUGCUGAUGGAGCCACACAGUUUCCAGAUGUUGAGAAACUGGAAAAGGGGCUGCGUGAUCUCCGGCCAUGGCCUGAUCAAAUGGCCGUCGC